rnacentral:rRNA from 1 species
GAAUCUUCCACAAUGGACGAAAGUCUGAUGGAGCAAUGCCGCGGGAGUGAAGAAGGUUUUCGGAUCGUAAAACUCUCUUGUGUGGGAAGAACAAGUACGAGAGUAACUGCUCGUACCUUGACGGUACCUCAUUAGAAAGCCACGGCUAACUCCGUGCCCUCAGCCGCGGUAAUAUGUAGGUGGCAAGCGUUGUCCGGAAGUAUUGGGCGUAAAGCGCGCGCAGGCGGUCCUUUAAGUCUGAUGUGAAAUCCCACGGCUCAACCGUGGAAGGUCAUUGGAAACUGAAGGACUUGAGUACAGAAGAGGAAAGCGGAAUUCCAAGUGUAGCGGUGAAAUGCGUAGAGAUUUGGAGGAACACCAGUGGCGAAGGCGGCUUUCUGGUCUGUAACUGACGCUGAGGCGCGAAAGCGUGGGGAGCAAAC